AUCUUUGCCUUGAAUUUUGGUGUUAUUCAUUUCAUAUGGCUUCGAAAUGAAUGAUGAAAAGGGAAUCAGGUGCAAAUCAUGAACAGACUCGCUGCUGUAAGCUCCGCUUACGUGCCGGACAAAUACCUCCAUUGCCACUGCCCCGAUAAACCGGAGUGGGAAGGCGUCCGGACACGGGAGUAAGUCAGAAGACCUGCCAGAAUGUACAGAGUUUU
rnacentral:ncRNA from 2 species